CCUACGGGUGGCAGCAGUGGGGAAUAUUGCACAAUGGGGGAAACCCUGAUGCAGCGACGCCGCGUGAGUGAAGAAGUAUCUCGGUACGUAAAGCUCUAUCAGCAGGGAAGAAAAUGACGGUACCUGACUAAGAAGCCCCGGCUAACUACGUGCCAGCAGCCGCGGUAAUACGUAGGGGGCAAGCGUUAUCCGGAUUUACUGGGUGUAAAGGGAGCGGAGACGGCAGCACAAGUCUGGAGUGAAAUCCCGGGGCUUAACCCCGGAACUGCUUUGGAAACUGGGCGGCUUGAGUGUAGGAGGGGUAAGCGGAAUUCCUGGUGUAGCGGUGAAAUGCGUAGAUAUUAGGAGGAACACCGGUGGCGAAGGCGGCUUACUGGACUGUAACUGACGUUGAGGCUCGAAAGCGUGGGGAGCAAACAGGAUUAGAUACCCUGGUAGUC
rnacentral:rRNA from 1 species